CUAAGGAGCAUCUCCAAUUCUUGUGCCACAGAGGUGGUUUCGAGGUUGGCAGAGCCGCUUAGUUCUCACAUGUAGAACUGCGGAGCUCAUGGGUGGAACACUGACUACCUCAUCGCCCUAGGCCAAUCCAAAGCGGUUGGCCGCGGUGAUAUACCGACACACUAUUGGGUCCUGAAAGAACACGCGAGUGUUUCUUUCCAGGCAAGAACGAUCCGAAGGGGUUCUCCUCGAUACCGCCGGCCGGUUUAGGUCGAGUUGGUCUGGGAAAUCAGACUUCUUCGGGUGUGUUGUUUGAGAACUGCACAGUGGACGCGAGCAUCUUUGUUAGUAAGUGUUUAAGAGCGUAC
rnacentral:misc_RNA from 1 species